rnacentral:rRNA from 1 species
GAUUGAAUGGGCUUAGUGAGGUCUUCGGAUUGGCUUUGGGGAGCCGGCGACGGCACCCUAUCGCUGAGAAGUCGAUCAAACUUGGUCAUUUAGAGGAAGUAAAAGUCGUAACAAGGUUUCCGUAGGUGAACCUGCGGAAGGAUCAUUAUUGAAAUUAUAGGUGAGGGUUGUAGCUGGCCUCUCGGGGCAUGUGCACGCCCGAGCCCUUAAUCCACACACACCUGUGAACCUAUUGUAAGGGCCCUUAAAAAAGGCCUUUACGUCUUAUCAUCAACCCAUCGUAUGUCUCAUAGAAUGUAAAUAUAUGUCCUCGCCUUAAAAAGCGUUGAUAAACUUAUACAACUUUCAACAACGGAUCUCUUGGCUCUCGCAUCGAUGAAGAACGCAGCGAAAUGCGAUAAGUAAUGUGAAUUGCAGAUUUUCAGUGAAUCAUCGAAUCUUUGAACGCACCUUGCGCUCCUUGGUAUUCCGAGGAGCAUGCCUGUUUGAGUGUCAUUAAAUUCUCAACUCCGAUCGAUUUGUUUCGACUUCGGAGCUUGGAUUUGGAGCGUGCUGGCGUCGGUCGGCUCCUCUUAAAUGCAUCAGCGGAAUCUAACGUUUCGGANGUCAGUGUGAUAAUCAUGUUGCGCUGUCUGUCUGAUCCGAAAGCCCGCUCACAAUGGUCUUCGGACAACUUCAUAUCAAAUUUGACCUCAAAUCAGGUAGGACUACCCGCUGAACUUAAGCAUAUCAAUAAGCGGAGGAAAAGAAACUAACAAGGAUUCCCCUAGUAACUGCGAGUGAAGCGGGAAAAGCUCAAAUUUAAAAUCUGGCGGUCUUGCGGCCGUCCGAGUUGUAAUCUGGAGAAGCGUUUAUCCGCGUCGGANCGUGUACAAGUCUUCUGGAAGGGAGCGUCGUAGAGGGUGAGAAUCCCGUCUUUGACACGGAC